UUUGUUGUGGUGUGUCAAUUGUAGGUUGCUAUUCACAAUAGCAGUACUUGAGCAUCUUUCCUAUAAAAUAGAGCAACUAUCAAGGCCGUAACAAUCUUCAUGGAGUCCUUGCCACCAUUUGUGUUAAACAGCGUUGGUGUAUUUAUUUGUUUGUUUAUAUUUGGUAGAUUUUACUCAUUACUCUUAGGGGAUCUUCAGUUUCAAACAAAGACACCAGCAAUAUGGGGGCAUAUUAGGCACAUUAGAGCCAAAGGCCCAAACAUUCAGCAGAUUUUUCAUGGUCUGAGAAAAUCAGGCAGUUUAUAUUUCAAACAUGGCAUUAUGAAAGCACUCUAAAGUCUGAGAACUUCUGCUCAAUAUUUAACUCAGACUGCUGGAUGGUGUCUGCAAGCUGGGAUUUCCUGGAACUUGGUCGAGGGAACCCUUUUGAGACUGAAUCUUACUUCAAUGGUUUUCUAGGGAAAUUUGUCUGAGCUUUCUCUCUGCAGGUCUGAAUUACUGCAAAAAUUUGUGACUGUUAAGCAACAUACGCAGAAUCUGAUCUAGAAGAAAUAAUGGGAUCUGAGGUUUUGCACAUGUUUCAAGAUUUGGGAGAUGGAAAAUUUUCCAUUGAAUAUAAAUGUAUAUUUAUUGUUCAGCAGAUCACAAGUAAUUUUUCUAUGUGGCAAGUUCAGGAGCUAACAACUAAUGGAGUGACACGUGAGGGAAAUUGCAAACCGUUUUAGAACUGCUGGACAAUUCGUCAGCUCUUGCUUCAUUUGUCAUAAAGGCUGAAGGUCAUACACAUGGCAGAAGCCCCCAACCCUGCCUGCAGGAGCUCCUGGUAAAAGCAUUCAGGCAGGGUGAGAUGCAGAGCCUGAGCUGCCACUCGAUGUUGUACACUCUAUAAUUGGCAGCAAAUGUCAGUGACCUGGCAUGAUUCCUGGCUAUGAAGUGGCUCCUUUUUGGAAGAAGAAAUUUUUGCUCCAGUUCCUGAGUGUUUCCUGGAAGGCAUGAUAGCAUUUAUGGGCCUUGAUAUGACUUUAACUCAUGCAACAAUGCAGCAACUGGUUUAACUGUCUGAUUGAGGUAAUUCUUGAAGUCAGCCUAAAAGCAUCUAUCUCAAGGCCUGCCAAAGAUAUGCUUUUCAGACAUACACAGAUGUAAGAAGACAUGAUUUAAAACCUUCAUGUGAUAGAAAUUAAUCUUAGAAAUGUGGAUAUGUGUACCUGUUCAUACCUCAGCCCUCUCUUCUGACACAGUGUUUCUUGUUUCAGUGAUGUUCCUCUUACUUUACCUGGGAAAUUUCUUCAUCAGCUCAUCCUGCACUUCUCCUCAGCCCAGCUAAUAAUCACACACUGCCUUUCCAUAUGGGCACUCUGGCAGUGCUGAUGAGUAUUUUCGCUUUAAUAGAAAACAAGACUGAAUAAAAGAUCAAAAUAUUUUCCAUGCUAUUUUCUGGUCUUGUGUUAAUAGAGAAUUUUGCAACCAUUUUUCUAAUAGCAUUUAUGAUUUUUUUCUCAAUUUGGUUAUCUGUGGCUUCUUUGAAAUCUCUGUUGAAAUCUGAUCUAUAAAAUAAAAUGAAUGUUGAAAUAUCUGCUCUCCAUGUUGUAGGUAAUAAAAACAAUGUACAGGUUAAUAACGUUCCCUUUAAAUACAGAAUCAAGCAUAUUAAGUAUCUUGGAGUUAAGAUUUUAACUUUCUUAGAUUUAUGGUAAGAAUUAAAAUAUCCUCUCUUGUUACAUUUAUAAAGAUAUAGCUCGUUAGAUGAAGGAAAUUU